CAGUUGGGGCCCCGCCCCGAUCAAGAUACCACCCCUUGCAUUUUGAGUACCUCUGUUUCCUCGGCGGGCCCGCCCGCCAACGGGGACCACAAAGAAACCUCUUGCAGUUGCAGUAAACGUCUAAACAAACAAAAAAUCA
rnacentral:misc_RNA from 1 species